UACGUAGGGUGCAAGCGUUGUCCGGAAUUAUUGGGCGUAAAGAGCUCGUAGGCGGUCUGUCGCGUCGGCUGUGAAAACUCGGGGCUCAACUCCGAGCUUGCAGUCGAUACGGGCAGGCUAGAGUUCGGCAGGGGAGACUGGAAUCCUGGUGUAGCGGUGAAAUGCGCAGAUAUCAGGAGGAACACCGGUGGCGAAGGCGGGUCUCUGGGCCGAUACUGACGCUGAGGAGCGAAAGCGUGGGGAGCGAACAGG
rnacentral:rRNA from 1 species